rnacentral:rRNA from 1 species
AUUGAACGCUGGCGGCAUGCCUUACACAUGCAAGUCGAACGGCAGCACGGGAGCAAUCCUGGUGGCGAGUGGCGAACGGGUGAGUAAUAUAUCGGAACGUGCCCAGUCGUGGGGGAUAACGCAGCGAAAGCUGUGCUAAUACCGCAUACGAUCUAUGGAUGAAAGCGGGGGAUCGCAAGACCUCGCGCGAUUGGAGUGGCCGAUAUCAGAUUAGGUAGUUGGUGGGGUAAAGGCUCACCAAGCCGACGAUCUGUAGCUGGUCUGAGAGGACGAACAGCCACACUGGAACUGAGACACGGUCCAGACUCCGACGGGAGGCAGCAGUGGGGAAUUUUGGACAAUGGGCGCAAGCCUGAUCCAGCAAUGCCGCGUGCAGGAUGAAGGCCUUCGGGUUGUAAACUGCUUUUGUCAGGGAAGAAAUCCCUUGGGUUAAUACCUCGGGGGGAUGACGGUACCUGAAGAAUAAGCACCGGCUAACUACGUGCCAGCCGCCGCGGUAAAAC